rnacentral:rRNA from 1 species
AAGUCGAACGAGAGAGGAAGAGCUUGCUUUCCGAUCGAGUGGCGAACGGGUGAGUAACGCGUGAGGAACCUGCCUCAAAGAGGGGGACAACAGUUAGAAAUAGCUGCUAAUACCGCAUAAGACCACGGGAUCACAUGGUUCUGAGGUAAAAGAUUUAUCGGUUUGGGGUGGGCUCGCGUCCGAUUAGGUAGUUGGUGAGGUAACGGCCCACCAAGCCGACGAUCGGUAGCCGACCUGAGAGGGUGAUCGGCCACACUGGAACUGAGACACGGUCCAGACUCC